rnacentral:lncRNA from 1 species
AGCAACAGACAGUAACAAUCAAUCUCAAACGGAACAGGCGAAAACUAGCAGAGCAGAAGAAGACAACGGAAGAACUUACGUAGAAACCUUUCAAUUGCAACAACGAAAAACACAAUGCUCUUGAUUAAACCUGGUAAAAAAAUCACGGAGGCAGCAAAAAGAAAAGAAAGGAGGGAAAAAAAAGAAAGAAAAAGAAACGAUAAACUAAAACAAAACUUUCUAAAGAGAAGAAUGU